rnacentral:lncRNA from 10 species
CUUUCUAGGAAUGGUUUUGCCCUAAAGUUUACUUUGUCUGAUAUUAGUCCAGCUACACCAGAUUUCUUGUGAAUAUCUCAAAUAGUGGUUACUUCUACUGGCUGGUUUUUGCAAUGAAGACAAUAUAUGGUGAAGAACUAAAGCCAACUCAGAGCUACUGUGGUCAACAUAAAAUGCUCUGAAGUUUAGUCCUUCCCCCAAGCCUAUGGAACUUCCAGAAGCCUUCCUCAUCUUUUCAGCUUCUUAAGCACCACCAUCUGCUUGUCUUCUUUGCUUCUCAGACACAGUAUUUUGCUCAGCUUCCUGGCCUCUCAGAAGGCAGUUUGGAUUUUCAAAGGCCUUGAAAGGCACUGUGAUCAACCAGCCAACACUAAAGAUUUCUGGGAGCCAGACUCUUCUAAUCACUGCUUUGACUCUGCUGGCAAUUAUGCCCUUAUUUAUAGGUACAGCCACUUAAAAAAAACAGAUGAGCCCCAUGAUGGAGUCAGAGCUUCCUGACCCCUGACCAGAUACCAGAGGGAGAUAAGACCCUGAAACCAACCCAAACUGGAAGAGAUAACCCCAGUGGCCUUUAGAUCAUUAACAUAUCAUCAUAAUGCUAAAAUUCCCACUACAGAAAGAAAAUUUCUGCCAUUUUAUGUACAUGGGUUGUACGAAGAUGUGUGUUUAUGAGUUAAGUCUGCACAUGUGUAGUCCCACCCUACACAUGCUAACCUUCCUUCUUGCUCCUUGGACCCAGCCCUUAAAAACUCCAUGUCUUCUAUUGGUCGGGGAGAAAGGGUCUUUAGAGUGUAAGCUUACUCCUUCUUCAUUUCUGGAAAGAAAUAAAACCUGCUUGCCUUUUGUUCCAAUUGGGUGUUCUUUCUCUGUGACCAAUACAAAGUAGGGAAAAAAACUCAAUUUGCCAGUGACAAUACGAGCAACUAGCAAUUUGAGCAAGUAUAGCCAGCUUAUUUUCCCUGUACCAUUCCAUUUGAGAUAAUGUGCGCUUCUAAGGAUAUAUGCUUUUAUUGUCAUGAUGGAACUGAAGUGGAUGAAAGUGCCUCUAGCUGCUCUGUAUCUAGUUAUUCAGUGGAUCCCCAAAUCCGGUUAUAAAACCUAUAAGAUUUUAUUUGUUCAUAUUUCCCAAAUGAAAAAAAGAUUUAGUUUUAUUUUCUUUUUGUCUCCUCAAACAAACAAACAAAAGCUAAGCUAGAUUUGACACAAAAGUAUCUAGGUUCUUCUCCCCAUCGCACCCCCAACCCCCAAGAAACUUACGCUGAAAAGAGAGAAUAAUAGAGAUUAAAUGUCAGCUGUGUCAAUCUAUAAUUCAAAGUGAUAAAAUGAAAAGAGACCCCCAAUAUCACCCUGGCUCAGGUGAUAUAGCAGGGUAAGUGGCAAACCCUUAUCUAGGCAUCUAUUCCAAGA